GAUGAACGCUGACAGAAUGCUUAACACAUGCAAGUCUUUGGCGAAGCUGUGCUUGCACAGCCUAGCCAAGGCGGACGGGUGAGUAACGCGUAAGGAACUUGCCCUGCAGUCAGGGAUAACAGACGGAAACGACUGAUAAGACCUGGUAAAGUCAGGCGGACUCAUGUCCAGCCUGAUGAAAAGUGAUGCUGCAGGAGAGCCUUGCGUCCUAUUAGCUUGUUGGUGGGGUAACGGCCCACCAAGGCGAUGAUAGGUAGCCGGCCUGAGGGGGUGGACGGCCACAAGGGGACUGAGAUACGGCCCUUACUCCUACGGGAGGCAGCAGUGGGGAAUAUUGGACAAUGGGGGCAACCCUGAUCCAGCAAUUCUGUGUGCACGAUGAAGGUUUUCGGAUUGUAAAGUGCUUUCAGCAGGGAAGAAAAAAAUGACGGUACCUGCAGAAGAAGCGACGGCUAAAUACGUG
rnacentral:rRNA from 1 species